AGCAGCCGCGGUAAUUCCAGCUCCAAUAGCGUAUAUUAAAGUUGUUGCAGUUAAAAAGCUCGUAGUUGAAUUUCGGGAUCAAUAUAUCGGUCGUGCCUUGGUACGUACUGGUAUCAUUGGUUUCUCCUUUCUGACGAACCAUGAUGUCAUUAAUUUGGUGUUAUGGGAAGUUAGGACUGUUACUUUGAAAAAUUAGAGUGUUUAAAGCAAGCUAACGCUUGAAUACAUUAGCAUGGAAUAAUGAAAUAGGACGUUUGAUCCUAUUUUUGUUGGUUUCUAGGAUCGACGUAAUGAUUAAUAGGGAUAGUUGGGGGCAUUAGUAUUCAAUUGUCAGAGGUGAAAUUCUUGGAUUUAUUGAAGACUAACUACUGCGAAAGCAUUUGCCAAGGAUGUUUUCAUUAAUCAAGAACGAAAGUUAGGGGAUCGAAGACGAUCAGAUACCGUCGUAGUCUUAACCAUAAACUAUGCCGACUAGGGGUCGGAUGAUGUUAAUUUUUUAAUGACUCAUUCGGCGCCUUAC
rnacentral:misc_RNA from 2 species